rnacentral:rRNA from 1 species
AUUGAACGCUGGCGGCAGGCCUAACACAUGCAAGUCGAGCGGUAGAGAGGUGCUUGCAUCUCUUGAGAGCGGCGGACGGGUGAGUAAUGCCUAGGAAUCUGCCUAGUGGUGGGGGAUAACGUUCGGAAACGGACGCUAAUACCGCAUACGUCCUACGGGAGAAAGCGGGGGAUCUUCGGACCUCGCGCCAUUAGAUGAGCCUAGGUCGGAUUAGCUAGUUGGCGAGGUAAUGGCUCACCAAGGCGACGAUCCGUAACUGGUCUGAGAGGAUGAUCAGUCACACUGGAACUGAGACACGGUCCAGACUCCUACGGGAGGCAGCAGUGGGGAAUAUUGGACAAUGGGCGAAAGCCUGAUCCAGCCAUGCCGCGUGUGUGAAGAAGGUCUUCGGAUUGUAAAGCACUUUAAGUUGGGUAGGAAGGGUAGUAACCUAAUACGUUGCUACUUUGACGUUACCGACAGAAUAAGCACCGCGAACUUUCGUGCCAGCA